UCCGUUUUUUUUUGCUCCCGCUUCCUUUUUUUGUUCCCGCUUCCCGCUUCGUUCUCUCAAAUAUUCGGCUAGGUUUUGCAGUUUGCACUUCCGCUUAAUUACGUCGCGCCUCCAUCUGCCACACCUUCUCGUUUUCUGCCUUCCACUCCAUUCUAGGGUUUGAAGCUGUCCUCACCGAUUCGAUCAAUCCCAGUUUGUGAUUCAAAGAGAGGAUGGACGAUACCUGUGUUGUGUGUGCAGAGAGCCUAGAAUGGGUUGCUUACGGAUCUUGUGGAUACACAGGCCUACUUUGAUGAUUUGGAUCAAUACAAAAUGGUCAAGGCCACGUGUAGGCUUUCUUGUAGUGUUUGUGACAAGAUAGAGGAGAACACCAGUAAUAGCUCCAAGAGAAAAGCUAGGUUUCGUGACAUCCAUCAGCUUAAAGGUCAUCUGUUCCACCAGCAUAAGUUGUUUAUGUGCAGCCUCUGCCUGGAAGCUCCCCUUAUGCCGUUAUCGAUUAACCAUAAAUACCAUAGCAGGCUUCAAUCGUUCUGUUCAAUCGAAGCUUCAAUCGCUCCUGUCAUCGUUUUGUUCAGUAAGUAGGCUUAGUCAAAGGUUCAAACCUGCUCAAUCGACGACUAACCAUGCUCAAUCGCCGCCCAAACCUGCUCACUCGAAAUCAAACUCAAAACAACUUAAAAUCGUUCUUCAAAUUCAAGUCACAAGUUCUCCAAGUCACAAAUGAAUUCAACAAAAAAUGAGCUAACAGAAAAAUAGCGAUUUCCAGAUUCAGGGUAAGGGAGGUACAUGUUACUUCAAGAGCGAGUAAACGUCAGUCGUCGUCCGAGGGAGUAGUCGCCACCGGAGAAUCCACCACCGAUCAACUUCGUUUAUUCUCCGUGUGUCGAGACUCACAGGUGGUUGUAUCAUGGAGUAUUGGAAACACGUUGCUGCAUUUCAGCCUUGCAAGUGACCUAUGUGCUUCAGUCCAAUUAUCAAAUUGACCCUGGAAGCAACAUUAUCCCAACAGCAAGAUGCAGGGAUCCACGAUGUUCUCAAGAAUGUUAGGCAGUACAAUUGCCUUUUUGCUGGUGGUACUUGCAGUUUCAUUCUGGUAGGUUACUUGACUGUUGGCACCAGACAUUGAAGGGGGUAGUUUCGUCUUUUCCCUAAGUUUUUUCUUCUUGAAGCAAUUCUGAAGAAAUCUGAUGAUUGUGAGUUUCUUGUGACAGCAAGUGCUUUAGUUGCCUUUAUUUGUCAAGAGAUUGCUUCAAGCAAUGGUGGAUCCUGAUAGACCUGUUGCUUAUCUUAGCAGAUUGCUUUAGUUGCAGUGUUUCUUGGUGCUCUUUAUACACUUAGCCCUUUUGACAUCCUCCCAUGAUGUUGGAGCCUGUGAUCAUCAGCUAUAUACAAUGAUCUUGAUUACAUUCGUUGUUGCUAUUUUUCAUAUUUUUGGUGUAUUUUACAUGGUAUUUGGGACAAAUGUGAAUUGAAUAUGGUAUUUAAUAAAAAAUUGGAAGUUUAUAA